rnacentral:rRNA from 1 species
UACAGAGGGUGCAAGCGUUAAUCGGAAUUACUGGGCGUAAAGCGUGCGUAGACGGUUAUGUAAGUCAGGUGUGAAAGCCCCGGGCUCAACCUGGGAAUUGCAUUUGAGACUGCAUAGCUAGGGUGCGGAAGAGGGAAGCGGAAUUUCCGGUGUAGCGGUGAAAUGCGCAGAUAUCGGAAGGAACAUCAGUGGCGAAAGCGGCUUCCUGGUCCAGCACCGACGUUCAGGCACGAAAGCGUGGGGAGCAAACAGG